AAUCAACGCUGGCGGCGUGCCUCAGACAUGCAAGUCGAACGAGAAAGUUUCCUUCGGGAGACGAGUACAGUGGCGUCCGGGUGAGUAACACGUGGGUAAUUUACCUUUGGGUGGGGAAUAGCAGCCGGAAACGGCUAUUAAUACCGCAUAAUGCAGCGGCUCGACAUCGAGACAGUUGUUAAAGCGGGGAUCUGACAAGGACCUCGCGCCUAAAGAGAAGCCUGCGUCAGAUUAGCUAGUUGGUAGGGUAAUGGCCUACCAAGGCUGUGAUCUGUAGCCGGCCUGAGAGGGCGGUCGGCCACACUGACACUGACACACGGGUCAGACUCCUACGGGAGGCAGCAGUCGGGAAUUUUGGGCAA
rnacentral:rRNA from 1 species